rnacentral:rRNA from 1 species
UACGUAGGGGGCUAGCGUUGUCCGGAUUUAUUGGGCGUAAAGAGCGUGUAGGCGGCCAGGUAGGUCCGUUGUGAAAACUCGAGGCUCAACCUCGAGACGUCGGCGGAAACCCUCUGGCUAGAGUCCGGAAGGGGAGAGUGGAAUUCCUGGUGUAGCGGUGAAAUGCGCAGAUAUCAGGAAGAACACCCGUGGCGAAGGCGGCUCUCUGGGACGGUACUGACGCUGAGGUGCGAAAGCGUGGGGAGCAAACAGG